UAUACGCCCGUCUAUGACGGGACGUAUUAUGGUAUACCCCGCGUCCGUCCGUCCGUCUGUUAAUGUCGUACGCUACGUCAAAUAUCCUUUGACAGAUUUUCUUCAAAUUUUAACACAAUCUUAAUAUUGAUAAACCCUGAUCCCCUUUCGUUUUUGACGGAAUUCUGAAUUGUCGUUCCAGAGUUAUGGGACUUUGUUCGUCAAAAUUUCGUUAUUUCAUUGAAUGUCCUACUGUAGCUAUAUAAAAAUGUUAAAGUUGUUAUAACUUUGGUAUGCUUGGACCUAGAGUCUUGAAACUUGACAUGAAGGUUGGCCAGAACUAGUAAGUAACCCCUGGACAUUUCAAGGUCAUUCAUUUGAAGGUCAAGGUCACUGUGACCUUGAAUGUAAAAAUGUUAAAGUUCUUAUUUCAUGUUAUAACUUUGGUAUGCUUGUACCUAGAGUCUUCAAACUUGAAAUAAAGAUUGGCCAGUACUAGAAGAUGACCACUGGUCAUUUCAAUGUCAUUCAUUUGAAGGUCAAGGUCACUGUGACCUUAAAUGUUAAAAUGUUAAAAUUGUUAUAACUUUGGUAUGCUUGGACAUAGAGUCUUCAAACUUGACAUGAAGGUUUGCAAGCACACUUAGAUGACCACUGGUCAUUUCAAGGUCAUUCAUUCUAAGGUCAAGGUCACACAAGGUCACUGUGACCUUAAAUGUUAAAAUGUUAAAAUUGUUAUAACUUUGGUAUGCUUGGACAUAGAGUCUUCAAACUUGACAUGAAGGUUUGCAAGCACACUUAGAUGACCACUGGUCAUUUCAAGGUCAUUCAUUCUAAGGUCAAGGUCACUGUGACCUUAAAUGUUAUUGUUGUUCAUGUAUCCUACCGUAGCUCAAAUAUCCCCCGAUGGAUUUUUUAUACGCCCGUCUAUGACGGGACGUAUUAUGGUAUACCCCGCGUCCGUCCGUCCGUCCGUCCGUCCGUCUGUUAAUGUCGUACGCUACGUCAAAUAUCCUUUGACAGAUUUUCUUCAAAUUUUAACACAAUCUUAAUAUUGAUAAACCCUGAUCCCCUUUUGUUUUUGACGGAAUUCUGAAUUGUCGUUCCAGAGUUAUGGGACUUUGUUCGUCAAAAUUUCGUGAUUUCAUUGAAUGUCCUACUGUAGCUCAAAUAUCCUUCGAUGGAUUUUUUUCAAAUUUCAACACAAUCUUAAUAUUGAUAAACC